UACGUAGGAGGCAAGCGUUGUCCGGAAUUACUGGGCGUAAAGAGCGUGUAGGCGGCAAGACAAGUCUGUGCUGAAAUCUCGUGGCUCAACUACGAGAAGUGUAUGGAAACUGUUUAGCUGGAGGAAGGUAGAGGAAGGUGGAAUUCCCGGUGUAGUGGUGAAAUGCGUAGAUAUCGGGAGGAACACCAGCGGCGAAGGCGGCCUUCUGGGCCUAUCCUGACGCUGAGACGCGAAGGCCAGGGUAGCGAACGGG
rnacentral:rRNA from 1 species